GAGCGGAUGAUGGGAGCUUGCUCCUGGAUUCAGCGGCGGACGGGUGAGUAAUGCCUAGGAAUCUGCCUGGUAGUGGGGGACAACGUUUCGAAAGGAACGCUAAUACCGCAUACGUCCUACGGGAGAAAGCAGGGGACCUUCGGGCCUUGCGCUAUCAGAUGAGCCUAGGUCGGAUUAGCUAGUUGGUGGGGUAAAGGCUCACCAAGGCGACGAUCCGUAACUGGUCUGAGAGGAUGAUCAGUCACACUGGAACUGAGACACGGUCCAGACUCCUACGGGAGGCAGCAGUGGGGAAUAUUGGACAAUGGGCGAAAGCCUGAUCCAGCCAUGCCGCGUGUGUGAAGAAGGUCUUCGGAUUGUAAAGCACUUUAAGUUGGGAGGAAGGGCAGUAAGCUAAUACCUUGCUGUUUUGACGUUACCGACAGAUUAAGCACCGGCUAACUCUGUGCCAGCAGCCGCGGUAAUACAGAGGGUGCAAGCGUUAAUCGCAAUUACUGGCCGUAAAGCGCGCGUAGGUGGUUUGUUAAGUUGGAUGUGAAAGCCCCGGGCUCAACCUGCCAACUGCAUCCAA
rnacentral:rRNA from 1 species